AUAGUAGUUACUACUUAGUAGAUUCUACUCCAUCCCAGUUCUCCCAUCGUUGAAGUGCAGCCAUCCCCUUCCUCACCGCGUCGGCGCCUCCUCUACUCUUCAACUGCCCCCUCCGUCUCGCUACUUCCCUUCUCCCCCUUCCCCCCUCUAUCUCUCUCAGUUUCUAUUUCUCUGCAGGCACCCCCGAAUCGAUGGAGAAGCUUCACCGGAGGAUAGACGGAACUGAAUGGAGGUGGAGCCCUGCACACAUCCGACGUCUCCGACCUCGUCUACAUCGGAUUGGACGACAUAGUGUCCUGACCGGCAAUCGGAGAGGUGCUGAGGCUCGUGAAGAUCGUGAAUGCCCACUUCCCCAUUAAUGUCUCCGUGACAUUGGGUAAUUUGCUUGACCCAAAGGAUCAAUCACGGAUUUGGAUCUAGCAACUCUGGACAUUCAACCUCGCCUCUCGUAUUACUGUGUAUCACCAUUCUGGUUCAAUUAGCUGCUAACUUGCUUCCCAUUUACCAGGCUCAGGAGAUUAGCAAACUUCAGUUGCUUAAAAGGCAUGAUGGCGGAUGAUCAGUGUGCCCAGACUUUCCUACAUCGUCCAAUAUACUAGAGACGAAGUCUAACAAGAAAUCAAGGACCUCGUGAGUACUAUUUAGGCAGUCGGCCUCAUCAAUUAGUCAUGCCAAUGAGAUAUCAAGCCCUCGAUUCCAACGGGGCUACGAACAAAGAAGGUCCUUUCAAGAUUAUAUUUCCCCUUGGGUCUAUCAAGCUGAACAGUUCGUGGGGAUAUAAGAAGAUCACACUUAGACAACUGUCUACACUACCUCUUUAAUGAUCCGGAUUCCAUGACGCGUAAUUCAUCUGUCCAUAUAUAUUACUAAUUUCAUAUUCAUCACCACGGGCAAGGAGAAGUCGUCGUGUUAUCCUUCAUACCCUUGAAAGAACCAUAGAGGGCAUCGCUUCCUACCAGGCAGAUGCCUUUCAUUCAUCCAAAAUUGCAGCACAAGAGCUCGAUGAUGAAGCCUGAAGAAAACCUGCACCUAGCGAAGUGUUCAAGAUCAUUGGAUCUAGAUAUAUUGAUAACUAGCCAGAUUUGAAUAUUUACUUGUAUUUUGAUAGUUGUGCACCUGAUCUGUAUUGUGGAUUCCUGUAAUGUACCUUUGCUGUUAUAUGAGAUAGUUGUGCACCUGGCCAGGGAUGCGGAGUUCCUGGUUGACGCGGAGCAGGAAGCAGAGGAGGAGCGGGCGGCCAACGCGGCGUUCGAUGCCGAGAUGGAAUGACGCAGGGAGGUGGCCACUGCAGAGGACGACUCCUCCGACAUCUCAUGGUCAUCUGAUAACCCAGAUGUGCCUACCCCAGAGGAGAAGGCGGCGGAGCAGAGGGUGUUAGUGUUAGUGGACUCCUUCGAGACGCUCGAGAAGGCUGAUGAUGCCGUGAACGAGACGCUGCAGUGGUGCUUGAUAGCGGACGCGGCGAUGCACCAAGCUCUAGCGAUCGCACGGUUGGCGGCGGAGAAGCAAAUAAGGGAGGUACGCAACGAUGGGGCCGGGCCGUCGGGCAACAAGUAGCCUAUGGUUUGU